rnacentral:rRNA from 1 species
GAACGAACGCUGGCGGCAGGCCUAACACAUGCAAGUCGAGCGCACCCUUCGGGGCGAGCGGCGGACGGGUUAGUAACGCGUGGGAAUGUACCCUUCUCUACGGAAUAGCCAUUGGAAACGAUGAGUAAUACCGUAUACGCCCUUCGGGGGAAAGAUUUAUCGGAGAAGGAUCAGCCCGCGUUAGAUUAGAUAGUUGGUGGGGUAAUGGCCUACCAAGUCUACGAUCUAUAGCUGGUUUUAGAGGAUGAUCAGCAACACUGGGACUGAGACACGGCCCAGACUCCUACGGGAGGCAGCAGUGGGGAAUCUUAGACAAUGGGCGCAAGCCUGAUCUAGCCAUGCCGCGUGUGUGAUGAAGGCCCUAGGGUCGUAAAGCACUUUCGCCAGGGAUGAUAAUGACAGUACCUGGUAAAGAAACCCCGGCUAACUCCGUGCCAGCAGCCGCGGUAAUACGGAGGGGGUUAGCGUUGUUCGGAAUUACUGGGCGUAAAGCGCACGUAGGCGGAUUAGAAAGUUGGGGGUGAAAUCCCAGGGCUCAACCCUGGAACUGCCUCCAAAACUCCUAGUCUAGAGUUCGAGAGAGGUGAGUGGAAUUCCGAGUGUAGAGGUGAAAUUCGUAGAUAUUCGGAGGAACACCAGUGGCGAAGGCGGCUCACUGGCUCGAUACUGACGCUGAGGUGCGAAAGUGUGGGGAGCAAACAGGAUUAGAUACCCUGGUAGUCCACACCGUAAACGAUGAAUGCCAGUCGUCGGGUAGUAUACUAUUCGGUGACACACCUAACGGAUUAAGCAU